rnacentral:sRNA from 1 species
AAAUGAGAAUUCCUUCGGCAAAAGGAGAAGCUGAUUUGCAGAAGUGCUGAGCAUGCCUGAGAGAGAUGGGAGUGAUCAAGACCAGGAGUGCCAUUUGGAUGUGCAGAGUUGAGCAGGGAGAUACCAGGGUUCGUCAUGGGCAGCAAUGACUACGAUGGACAAGAAGAUAGAGGCCCUAAUCCUAAUUUUCUGAGCACCAUGGAAGCCCCCUGGAUUCUAGGGAGACCUUGAGGAGAAAGCAGACUCCCGUAAAUGCCUGACAUUGAAAUUCCUGCAAGUCUAGGAGCAUGUGAACUCAAAAUGGAAAUUAAUUUG